rnacentral:rRNA from 1 species
AGUCACUGACAUUAGAUACCCGGGUAGUCCAGGGUGUAAACGCUGCAGACUUGGUGUUGGGAACCCUUCGGGGGCAUUCAGUGCCGGAGAGAAGUUGUUAAGUCUGCUACUUGGGAGUACGUCCGCAAGGAUGAAACUUAAAGGAAUUGGCGGGGGAGCACCGCAACGGGAGGAGCGUGCGGUUUAAUUGGAUUCAACACCGUAAAACUCACCAGGGAAGACUGUUACAUGAAAGCCGAGAUGAAGACUCUGCUAGAUUUUCAG